rnacentral:lncRNA from 1 species
AUGCUGCGUUUCCUGUGUCUGUUUGGCCAAGAGGAGCCCCCGCAGGGAGGGAGCCGCUGCCGGCAGAUGGAGCCGCAGCGCCGGAGCCGCGCACCGCGCCCGCCGCGUCCGGGCCAACCGCCCGCCGCGUCCGGGCCACCCUGGACUGCGGCCAGGGUGCUCCCUGUAACCACGGCGAUCCAGCUGAAAGAACCAGGCUCGCUUUUUCAUCUUUGUACUGUAAGGAGACACAGCAACAACUUAGCCUUGUACAUGACUUCAUACUUCUGUUGUUAUGGUUGUAUUACCAACUUCAUAUUUAUCAAGAACAAUCCCAGGACACAAAUACAAUGCAAAGUCCCUUUUUGUGAUGGUACCAUGUGACAAGAUACACUGGAAAGGUGUGGAAGAACCCAUCAAAUGUCUAAAAGGUGAGGAAGCACCCAUCAAAUGUCUAAAAGGCAGUACCUGCUACCUGUGCUUCCCUUUCUGUUCCUAAUUUGGGCAGUCCUGUGCAGUAUUUCACUUUAAUCUCAAGGGGAGCUCCCACAGCAGAGGGUGCUGCAAUGACCACAGUGCUUGACCCUCAUCACCCCUGCCUGCAGGCAAGGACUCUGCACAGAUUGCUCUGUACAGGGCACUGCUCCCCUCACCCACACCCAGCAGUGAUGCUGAGGUGAAGCUCAGUAGGAAAUAACCUAUUUUGCUCUUCCUUUUGGCAUCUGAUCUGGCUUUUGAAUUUCCUGUGGUUUUGUGCUACACUGGAAGACCUGGAGCAGAGACCAGUGCUAAAUAAGGUGAAUUAUUCCCUCAAGCUGUUGCAGAACUCACUGUCAGAGAAUUACAUCACCACGUGGGACCAUCUGUGGGUGUGCCUGCAGACAGCCAUUACUGGGAACAAUUCUUCCAAGGCAAACAAGACCACAACUCAGGAGCUGACUGCAGUGAGUUGGAAGAUUUGCUGUGAGAAGUUCUUCACUAUGAGGCAAGGCACAAACUAUUUAUUCACCUUACUGCAUUAGUAAAGACUCGCUGUUCUCUACACUGACCUCACACAUGCCUUUUGCUCUGUUGUCUCACUAGGAGUCAGACCAUGAAAUCCCAAAGGACUAUCUUGGGGGAUGUCUGCAGGUUCCCUUACAGCUGCAGGUCCUCAUGGGGAUGAGAAGAAGGUCUCUUCAUAAAAUGCUGUGCUCUACCCCCUGAAACCUCAUGGCUCUUUUGCAGAGCCCAGCAGCAAUCCUGUUGUGAUUUUUAUUUGAGCAAAAUUCACAUUGUACAGUCAGCCUUUAGACAUUUCAGGGGAAAAUUUUCAUUAUUUGGGACAGAAAUGAGGCAUAAAAUCAUUAAUACAUCCUGGCUUUUCCAAAGCAUCUCCUCAUCU